rnacentral:rRNA from 1 species
GCGAUCAUAUCAGCACUAAUGCACCGGAUCCCAUCAGAACUCCGAAGUUAAGCGUGCAUGGCCGAGAGUAGUACUAGGAUGGGUGUCGAAAAAUGCCCAAAACG